AUCGCCGAUUUUGCUUGUUUUCGUCGCAACGUUGGUUUUUCGCUGGUUGCGAGCGUCGCUGAGCCUACGUGGUCGUGUGAGGGAGUAUUUUGAAGGGUUUUUCGCAGCCCUGAGCCAGUGAGGUGCUGGUUGGAAGCUAGAGAAGCAGGUUUCUGAACCACGUGAAGCUUAUUUGGUGACCUGGGAGGCUGGUUUAGAACGUGUUCUAUCCUAAGCGGGAUUGCGAUCGAGCCCUGAAUUGUCCUCGACUGACUUGUGAGAGCUCUUGGAGGUUACAGUUGAUGUACUAGUGUGACACGAAACAGGGGAGUGGAGCCUUGUUGAGCUGAUUUUUGGGACUUCUUGUGACUUGUUGGAGCUUAGCACUAGAGCCAUCUAUAGGAGAGGCUAGGGAUCGUGGCAAGGGAGUCGCGUCUAGCUAGACAUUGCUAGGGGCAUGCUAGUCGAUCACCUUGCUACUCAGGCUACGGUCGAGGGUGAUGUCCCCAUGUAUAGCGAGACUACCAUUGUAUCUACUUUUUGUAUACCCGUGAUGUAUAUGUACUUUUUGGACCGAGAACUACAGUUGUGAUACUUCCCUUUUGACAAGAUUUUUGGAUUGUAUUGUCUUUUGUCUUUUGCUUA